rnacentral:rRNA from 1 species
AGCAGCCGCGGUAAUUCCAGCUCCAAUAGCGUAUAUUAAAGUUGUUGCAGUUAAAAAGCUCGUAGUUGAAUUUCGGGAUCAAUUUAUCGGUCGUGCCAAUGGUAUGAACUGGUACAAUUGGUUUCUCCCUUCUGACGAAGCAUGAUGUCAUUAAUUUGGUGUCGUGGGGAAUCAGGACUGUUACUUUGAAAAAAUUAGAGUGUUUAAAGCAAGCAUUAGCUUGAAUACAUUAGCAUGGAAUAAUGAAAUAGGACGUUUGAUCCUAUUUCGUUGGUUUCUAGGAUCGACGUAAUGAUUAAUAGGGAUAGUUGGGGGCAUUAGUAUUCAAUUGUCAGAGGUGAAAUUCUUGGAUUUAUUGAAGACUAACUACUGCGAAAGCAUUUGCCAAGGAUGUUUUCAUUAAUCAAGGACGAAAGUUAGGGGAUCGAAUACGAUCAGAUACCGUCGUAGUCUUAACCAUAAACUAUGCCGACUAGGGAUCGGAUGAUGUUAAUUUUUUAAUGACUCA